GACGAACGCUGGCGGCGUGCUUAACACAUGCAAGUCGAACGAAGAGCGAUGGAAGCUUGCUUCUCUCAAUCUUAGUGGCGAACGGGUGAGUAACGCGUAAUCAACCUGCCCUUCAGAGGGGGACAACAGUUGGAAACGACAGCUAAUACCGCAUACGAUCUAAUCUCGGCAUCGAGGAUAGAUGAAAGGUGGCCUCUACAUGUAAGCUAUCACUGAAGGAGGGGAUUGCGUCUGAUUAGCUAGUUGGAGGGGUAACGGCCCACCAAGGCGAUGAUCAGUAGCCGGUCUGAGAGGAUGAACGGCCACAUUGGGACUGAGACACGGCCCAGACUCCUACGGGAGGCAGCAGUGGGGAAUCUUCCGCAAUGGACGAAAGUCUGACGGAGCAACGCCGCGUGAGUGAUGACGGCCUUCGGGUUGUAAAGCUCUGUUAAUCGGGACGAAAGGCCUUCUUGCGAAUAGUGAGAAGGAUUGACGGUACCGGAAUAGAAAGCCACGGCUAACUACGUG
rnacentral:rRNA from 1 species